AAGUCGUAACAAGGUUUCCGUUGGUGAACCAGCGGAAGGAUCAUUACCAUAAUCCAUAUGAUUAUCAAUCAACAUUGUGAACUUGUAAAUUGUCUUUCGGGAUAAUUGUAUAUUAUUCCAAAUGUAUGUGUUUAUGGGUUGGAAACACACAUCUUCGAUGUGUGCCAACAACCAUAUCAUAAACCUCCAUACAUUUUAUAUACAUGUUCCCAGUGUAUUUUCGCAAGAAAAUACACAUAUAUUAAAAACCAUAAAAUAAAACAUAUAUACAGAAUUAAAAAGCAAUACAGAAAUGUAUUGUGAAUAAAUUAAUAUAUGACAACUUUUAACGGCGGAUCUCUUGGCUCGU
rnacentral:misc_RNA from 1 species